UGCUGAAUUAUUCGCCAAUGCGCGAAAGCGUGACGGUGCGACGCCGCGUGAAGGAUGAAGGCCUUCGGGUCGUAAACUUCUGUCAGGGUGUAGAAAGCCCCCUGGGUUAACAGCCCAGGGACUGAUCCCACCCAAAGGAAGCACAGGCUAAUCUCGUGCCAGCAGCCGCGGUAAUACGAGAUGUGCGAGCGUUGUUCGGAAUCACGGGGCAUAAAGGGUUCGUAGGCGGUCUAGCAAGUUAGGUGUGAAAUCCCUCGGCUUAACCGGGGAAUUGCAUUUAAUACUACUAGGCUUGAGGGUGAAAGGGGCAAGCGGAAUUCCAGGUGUAGCGGUGGAAUGCGCAGAUAUCUGGGAGAACGCCGAAGGCGAAGGCAGCUUGCUGGGUCACUUCUGACGCUGAGUGAACGAAAGCUAGGGGAGCAAACA
rnacentral:rRNA from 1 species